ensembl:lncRNA
AAAUGAUGAAUUUUACAUUCAUCAAAGGGUCCUGAAAAAUGUAUCAGGAUAAAAUUGUUGUAAAGGGAUGUUUCCCUUGUGGAAAAAUGCUUCUACAAGAACAUUAAGAAUGUUUUCAACAUCAACAAAUCAACAUAUUACAUUGAUUUCAGAAGGAUCAUGUGAUGCUGAAGACUGGAGUAAUUGCUGCUGAAAUUUCAGCUUUGAUAUUUUAAAUUAUAAUAUUUCACAGUAUUACAGUUUUUACAGUAUUUUGAGCAAGGUAAUGUGCCCUUUGUGAGCAUAAGAGACUUCUUUUCAAUGAAUGUUUAUAUAUGAAUUUAAUGUUUAAUUUUCUUUACCAAAAAAAUAAGUUUCAACAAAUAAUUAAAAAAAUAAUAAUUAAUUAGGCAUUUUAUUUAUGGGGAAAAAAUAUAAUUCAAACACUCUUUUGCUGAAAAAUAAUAACAUAGAGUGAAAAAACAUGACUUGUUUUUAAUUUUUAAACUAUUGUAGCUGUUAAAAUUGCAAGAAGGACUUCCAAGUCAUUCUUGCAAUUUUAACAAGGAUUUGCAAGACGAUCCCAGUGACCGUUCCGUCAACUGGCUCCUUCCCCCAUUGUUUCACUUUAUUGUUUACAUUCUCUCAGAUGUAUUUCGUGUAUCUUCAUCUUCAUACUUUUCAACUGCCACAUUCCCUUGAGAGAAAUCACUCGCUACGAUCAGUUCAGUUCAUUUCAGCCCAUCGCUCCUCAGCUUUAAACAGUCUGCCACCUCACAUUUAUCCGUUUUCUCACAUUUCAGUAAUGCUGUCACCGGGGAGUCCUUCCAAAUGGCAAGUGCAAGAUUCCCUCUCCUUGACCCCAAGUCUCCCCUACAGCGAGAGUGACCAGACGGAGGAUGAAUCGGAGGUCUUCUCCUCUGAGAGUGAGGCUGCAGGAGUUGUGUCUGGUCCAAAGCCAUGCUCCUUGGCCAAUGGGAGCUCUCAUAAUUCAAAAUCGCCUCUCACCUUUGUGAACCAGAGGAGUGGUAGAUCUGAAAAUGUUCAAACUGGAUGUUCCUCAACAUCUCCAGCCUACACCGGUCAGACCUCAACAUCAGUUGAAAGGAUUCCCACAGAGGGGGACCUAAGGUUUGCACGAAAAUGUGCAGAGCUGCAUGGGUACAUCAGACCCCUGUUGGAGC